rnacentral:rRNA from 1 species
GAUGAACGCUGGCGGCGUGCUUAACACAUGCAAGUCGAACGGAAAGGCCUCUGCUUGCAGGGGUACUCGAGUGGCGAACGGGUGAGUAACACGUGGGUGAUCUGCCCUGCACUUCGGGAUAAGCCUGGGAAACUGGGUCUAAUACCGGAUAGGACAAUGGUUUGGAUGCUGUUGUGGAAAGUUUUUCGGUGUGGGAUGAGCUCGGGGCCUAUCAGCUUGUUGGUGGGGUAAUGGCCUACCAAGGCGGCGACGGGUAGCCGGCCUGAGAGGGUGUACGGCCACAUUGGGACUGAGAGACAGGCCGGAGUACUGAAGGAGGCAGAAGGGGGGAAAAUUGGACAAUGGGCGCACGCGUGAGGCAGGGACGCCGUGGGGGGGAUGAAGGCCUUCGGGUGGUAAACACAUAUCGCUAGGGAAGAAGCGUGUUUGUGACGGUACCUGGAGAAGAAGCAACGGCUAACUACGUG